CUGAGCUCGCUCUAUACCCUUUGUGACAUACCUACAACUGUUGCUUCGGCGGGUAGGCCGUCCCCUGAAAAGGACGCCUCCCGGCCCGGACCGGACCCCCCGCGGGACCGGACCCGGCGCCCGCCGGAGGAUAACCAAACUCUAUUGUAACGACGUUUCUUCUGAGUGGCAUAAGCAAAAUAAUCAAAACUUUUAACAACGGAUCUCUUGGUUCUGGCAUCGAUGAAGAACGCAGCGAAAUGCGAUAAGUAAUGUGAAUUGCAGAAUUCAGUGAAUCAUCGAAUCUUUGAACGCACAUUGCGCCCGCCAGCAUUCUGGCGGGCAUGCCUGUUCGAGCGUCAUUUCAACCCUCAAGCUCUGCUUGGUGUUGGGGCUCUACGGUCGACGUAGGCCCUCAAAGGUAGUGGCGGACCCUCCCGGAGCCUCCUUUGCGUAGUAACAUUUCGUCUCGCACUGGGAUCCGGAGGGACUCUUGCCGUAAAACCCCCCAAUUUUCCAAAGGUUGACCUCGGAUCAGGUAGGAAUACCCGCUGAACUUAAGCAUAUCA
rnacentral:rRNA from 1 species